AUGGGCAUCCAGUCAUAUCUCAAGGAGCGCAUAUCAACUGGAAUUCUGGAGUUAAGUAAGGGCAGCUGCAGGUGGGGGCUCAGGGGAGGGGCAGGGCCUCCCAGAGACAGGUUUUUGUAUGAGCCUGUAUCACAGUGUUGGGUGUUCGGCGGCGGGACCCAGCUGACCGUCCUAGGUCAGCCCAAGUCCGCACCCUCAGUCACUCUGUUCCCGCCAUCCAGUGAGGAGCUUGACAAGAACAAGGCCACACUGGUGUGUCUGGUCAGUGACUUCUACCCCGGCAGCGUGACGGUGGCCUGGAAGGCAAAUGGCAAGCCUGUCACCCAGGGCGUGGAGACCACCAAGGCCUCGAAACAGAGCAACAACAAGUACGCGGCCAGCAGCUACCUGAGCCUGCGCUCGAAAGCAGAGUGGAGCUCUGUCAGCAGCUUCAGCUGCCAGGUCACGCACGACGGCAACACUGUGGAGAAGACAGUGGUCCCCUCAGAGUGUUCGUAG